GACAGAAGGAAGUGGAGAGGGUCAGCUCCCAUGACAGAUGCAAGGAGACUGUCCACGGGUGGCUGCACGCAGAUACACCCAGGUCCUUGACCCCGGUUCUCCUGGGCUUCUAUCGGAGGGCAAGAAGCCCAUUGGCCUCUUUCUGGAGGGCGGAGCAGAGGGCUGCCCCGGAAGGAGUGGAAAACGAGCUUCUGAGACGCUGCCUAGUGGAGCCAGCCCUCACCCCAUUCCGGGAUAAAGAUCAGUGGGGUUGAGGUGGAGAGGGACCCCACAGUUCCCGCACCUGCCGUUGUGACAUCACUGGCAGCCUGAGGAGUGGAGGUUUGGGGCUCCCUCCACUUCGGGGUCCCUACUGGCCAGCCCCUGACAGCACCAGAGGCCUGACUUCAAGGUAUUUGCUUCCCCGCAGCUUUCCUUCACCUUCUAAAUCUUACCCACACCCAAUCUACUUUCCCUUGUCCUUCAGUCUCCUCCAGGCUCCAGCUCCAUCGACAGUGAGCUGGGGAUCAAAGUACCUGCCUCUCAGGGUAGAUGUGAAGACACAGGCUGUGCUGAAAGUGACCAGCCUUCCAUUUAGCUCCUGCCCUCCACCUGGGAAAGUUCACAGGAUCCUGGGCUGAGAGGUACCUGCUCUGAACCACUCAGCUGGAUGCAAAGAACAGAGAUAUUUCCCGGCCUUCAGAAUGGGGGCAUGCACAGGAGUCACUAAGCUCCUCCUAGGGGAGAGAAUCUUGGACAUCUUUCUCAAAGAAUAGCACAGCACAUGUGAAUUGUGAAGCAGUGCAAUGGUACAUGGUACCUUUGAAGAACUGCAAAAUGUUCUAUGAGGCCAGGGAAAAAGAAGGGCAAGGUGGGUGGCAAGAAAUGAGUCUGCAGAGGUGGGCAGGGGCCAAAUCACAAAAGAUAUUGGGUACUACUCUAGGGUAUUAGAACUUUACUCUGAAAGCUAUGGGUAGGAGGAGAACCAGAAGUGUAGCCAGGACACUGUGGUG